GACCCUCCUGACCGCCCGCUCCGGGGGUCUCUGCGCCUUCACCUCCAAGCGCAGCAGCUGCGUCGGCUGCCGGGCCCUGCUGCCCCACCACGGUGCAGUUUGCGAUUUCUGCCGCCAGAGGGAGUCCGAGCUCUACCAGAAGGAGGUGUCCCAGGUGUGGCACCUGGAG